rnacentral:rRNA from 1 species
GACGAACGCUGGCGGCGUGCUUAACACAUGCAAGUCGAGCGGAGCGGCGAACGGGUGAGUAACGCGUGAGUAACUGCCCCCCUCCCUGGGAUAACAGUUGGAAACGGCUGCUAAUAACGGAUAGUGGGGGAUGACUCGCGUCCGAUCCGCUUGUUGGUGGGGUAGUGGCCUACCAAGGCGACGCAGGGUAGCCGGCCUGAGAGGGCGACCGGCCACAUUGGGCUGAGAUACGGCCCAAACUCCUACGGUAGGCAGGAGUGGGGGAUAUUGCACUAUGGGGGAAACCCUGAUGCAGCUACGCCGCGUGCGGGAUGACGGCCUUCGGGUUGUAAAAAUCUUUUUUAUGGGAUGCAGUACCAUAAGAAUAAGUUCCGGCUAAAUCCGUGCCAGCAGCCGCGGUAAUAC